AUUGAACGCUGGCGGUAUGCUUUACACAUGCAAGUCGAACGGAAGAGGGGCAACCCUUGAGAGUGGCGAACGGGUGAGUAAUACAUCGGAACGUGCCCAGUCGUGGGGGAUAACGUAGCGAAAGCUACGCUAAUACCGCAUACGACCUGAGGGUGAAAGCGGGGGACCUGCAAGGGCCUCGCGCGAUCUGAGCGGCCGAUGGCAGAUUAGGUAGUUGGUGAGGUAAAGGCUCACCAAGCCGACGAUCUGCAGCUGGUCUGAGAGGACGACCAGACACACUGGGACUGAGACACGGCCCAGACUCCUACGGGAGGCAGCAGUGGGGAAAUUUGGACAAUGGGCGCAAGCCUGAUCCAGCCAGACCGCGUGCAUGAAGAAGGCCUUCGGGUUGUAAACUGCUUUUGUCAGGGAAGAAAUCUUCUGGGCUAAUACCCUGAGAGGAUGACGGUACCUAAAGAAUAAGCACCGGCUAACUACGUGCCAGCCGCCGCGGUAAUAC
rnacentral:rRNA from 1 species